GGAGGAGAUGAUUCCAACUGCAGAAGUAUGAGCGUGGGAGAAUUUUGCCUAUGGUGUCCAUGGUAGCAGGUGGCAAUGACACAGACUUUCCACAGAGUUGAAAAUGUGGAAGGAGGAAUGUGAUAAACCACGAGAAGCUGAGCAGAAGUGAGAAGUCCAAGGAGGAAGAGAGUAGUCUGUUCUAAUGUGUCAAAGAAAGUUUCUUUUAUUUCUGGUUCAGCCUCAAGAGAUACAAUACAAAAGCCCAUUCACUGCGAAAGCCCUGAAGCGUUGGUCAUGCCCUGCAGACUUACCAACCUCUCACUGCUCUGCUCCUCUGGGGCGUCCUUGAAUGUCGAGGAUCCAGAUGUCAGCACUACUGUUCCAGUGGCACUCAGAGAGAUACCUCUGCUCUGAAGGAGAACACCCUUUAAGGUAGUGAGGCUGAAAAGAAUCAGUUCUUUGUCAAGAAAAGGAAAACAAUACAUAUAGAAGAAAUCAUUGCAUUG
rnacentral:lncRNA from 1 species